UACGAAGGGGGCUAGCGUUGUUCGGAAUUACUGGGCGUAAAGCGCGCGUAGGCGGGGGGAGCAAGUCCGGUGUGAAAGCCCCCAGCUCAACUGGGGAAGGUCGGCUGGAAACUGUUUCUCUUGAGGGUGACAGAGGGAAGUGGGAAAUUGCUGGUGUAGCGGUGAAAUGACGUAGAGAUCAGCAGGAACACCCGUGGCGAAGGCGGCUUCCUGGGUCACCACUGACGCUGAGGCGCGAAAGCGUGGGGAGCGAACGGG
rnacentral:rRNA from 1 species